rnacentral:tRNA from 1 species
AGCAGCGUGGCCUAGUAGAUAGAGCGCGGACUUGGGAUUCAGAGGACCUGGGUUCUAAUCCCGGCUCUGCCA